rnacentral:rRNA from 1 species
GAUGAACGCUGGCGGCGUGCCUAAUACAUGCAAGUCGAGCGAACAGACGAGGAGCUUGCUCCUCUGACGUUAGCGGCGGACGGGUGAGUAACACGUGGAUAACCUACCUAUAAGACUGGGAUAACUUCGGGAAACCGGAGCUAAUACCGGAUAAUAUAUUGAACCGCAUGGUUCAAUAGUGAAAGACGGUUUUGCUGUCACUUAUAGAUGGAUCCGCGCCGCAUUAGCUAGUUGGUAAGGUAACGGCUUACCAAGGCAACGAUGCGUAGCCGACCUGAGAGGGUGAUCGGCCACACUGGAACUGAGACACGGUCCAGACUCCUACGGGAGGCAGCAGUAGGGAAUCUUCCGCAAUGGGCGAAAGCCUGACGGAGCAACGCCGCGUGAGUGAUGAAGGUCUUCGGAUCGUAAAACUCUGCUAUUGGGGAAGAACAAAUGUGUAAGUAACUAUGCACGUCUUGACGGUACCUAAUCAGAAAGCCACGGCUAACUACGUG